rnacentral:lncRNA from 1 species
UCAAUCCCAGUCUCUGGGGGAGAACACAAUUCCUGAAUUGCUUUGCCCCAGUCAGAGCCCAGGAGCAGCUGGAAGAGCAGAAUUUAAAACAGGGAUUUUUUUCAAUCCCAGUCUCUGGGGGAGAACACAAUUCAGGAAUUGCUUUGCCCCAGUCAGUGCUCAGGAGCAGCUGGAAGGGCAGAACUUGAAAACUGGGUUUUUUCAAGCCCAAUGUCUGGGGGGGAAAACACAAUUCAGGAAUUGCUUUGCUCAGUUGCAGCCUGCCCCUUCUCACCCCCAGCACACAGCAAACAGCCUUGCAUUGCCUCUCCUCUCCUCUCUGAGCCUUCUCCUCCUGUCUCCCACCUGCCCAAGCUGCAGGGACACUGCCCAGCUGGAAUAUCCACAGCUCAGCCCACUGCAGCCUUGCUCCAAACUCAAAUCCCUUCCCACACCCAAAUCCUGGGCAGGAAAAUCCUUCACCUCUCCUGAAAGCCGCUCAGGGAGAAGCUCAAGGUACUGCAGCUCCCUUCCAGCUGCUGUUUCCAUCACUUUGUUUCCCCAGUCUGGGCAGCACACCAAAGAUCACAAGGUUUGGGGGUUAAGUUUCAUUCCAAAACCAUCUCGUAGGAGAAGAAUUCCUCCUCCAUUUUAUCCACGGGCUGCUGGCAGGGGGACACCAGUGGGACAUCACAUCCUGGGUAAAUAUGUGAGGAGGAAAACCCUGAGCUGCUAAUAAAACCUGAGAGGCAGAGCCCUGAGACACUCACUUUGCAAUUCCUUUAGACACAGCCAACACUUAAAGUCUCGUGGCUGAGUUUCCCCUAAAAACCCACACAGCACUUCACAAACCAGCACAGGCACUCAGCAGGUCCAUUUCCAGGGGAUGCUGUGCUUGUUACUGCCACAACAGCACUGAACAAGGAGAAAGCAGCAAGGAAGAGACACACAGAGCUGCUGGAAAGGGACAGGGCUCUAACUGGGAGACACUGGUGUUAUCCCAAGGUCCUUGAAAUUGUGCUCAGAUAAGGUCUGGGAGACACUGCAAGAGGGAGGAAGG